GGGCCCGCACAAGCAGCGGAGCAUGUGGUUUAAUUCGAAGCAACGCGAAGAACCUUACCAGGUCUUGACAUCCAGUAAAACCCUGAGAGAUCAGGUGUGCUUCGGCAUACUGAGACAGGUGGUGCAUGGUUGUCGUCAGCUCGUGUCGUGAGAUGUUGGGUUAAGUCCCGCAACGAGCGCAACCCUUGUGAUUAGUUACUAACAAGUAAGGUUGAGGACUCUAAUCAGACUGCCGGGGACAACUCGGAGGAAGGUGGGGACGACGUCAAAUCAUCAUGCCCCUUAUGACCUGGGCUACACACGUGCUACAAUGGCCACUACAGAGAGAAGCGAAUUCGAGAGGAAGAGCGGAUCUCACAAAAGUGGUCCCAGUUCGGAUUGUGGGCUGCAACCCGCCCACAUGAAGUCGGAGUUGCUAGUAAUCGCGGAUCAGCAUGCCG
rnacentral:rRNA from 1 species